rnacentral:misc_RNA from 1 species
CUUUCUGAACAGACUGAUGGCAGUGUUCCUAAUACUCUUGUAAUCGCAAACUGUGAGGUUGUUAAACCUAGGGUUGCUGCUGCAGAGCACAUAUCCCAGUUCAAUGAAGAAGCACGCUCUCCUUUUGUAAGGAAGUAUAAAACUAUUAUACAUCCUGGCGAGGUGAACAGAAUCAGGGAAUUGCCUCAGAACAGUAAGAUAGUGGCUACACACACUGAUAGUCCUGAAGUCCUCAUUUGGGAUGUUGAGACUCAACCCAAUCGUCAUGCUGUUAUGGGAGCCACAGAGUCUCAUCCAGAUCUGGUAUUAACUGGGCAUAAAGAUAAUGCUGAAUUUGCUCUUGCAAUG